rnacentral:lncRNA from 1 species
AUGGCGGAGGGAAGCGGGCUGUUUAUCCCCAGGGUGCACAGAGCAUCAUCACCACCAUCACAAAACUGGCGCGUCCUGCACUCACGCCCACUCUCUGGGCGGGGCGCGAAGCCGCGGGGCCACGCGGAGCCCGCCUCGCUGCGCCUGCGUCGGAAACACCGCCCCAGAAAGAAGGUGAGCGGCGCGCGGCUCUGCGCCGGCGCAGCCGCUUGCUUCCGCCGGGGGCGGGGCCGGCGGGGCCGGCGCCCUCGGCGCACAGCCCCCCGCGCGCAUGCGCAUGGAGCCGGGGGACCAGACCUGCAGCAUGGCCCCGGACCGGGGUUUGGUAUCAGCAACACAGAGACCGCGGCGAGAGCCCGGGACAGGGACCCAGGAGGGGGCUCCUGGCCCCGGUGCUGUUCGAGCCCGCCGCUUCCUGCUCUGUCUUUACCUGGUAGGCUUCCUGGAUUUGUUUGGUGUGAGCAUGGUCGUCCCUUUACUGAGCGUUCAUGUCAAGUCUCUUGGAGCAAGUCCAACGGUUGCUGGGAUAGUAGGCUCCUCCUAUGGCAUUUUGCAACUCUUUUCCAGCACGCUAGUGGGCUGCUGGAGCGACGUCGUCGGAAGACGCUCUUCCCUACUGGUGUGCAUCCUGUUCAGCGCCCUGGGUUACCUUCUGCUUGGAGCGUCUACCAACGUGUUCCUGUUCACCCUGGCUAGAGUCCCUGCGGGUAUCUUUAAGCACACACUCUCCAUCUCAAGGGCCCUGCUAGCUGACCUGGUCACAGAGGAGGAACGGCCGGUGGUGCUGGGACAGUUCAACACGGCGUCCAGCAUGGGCUUCAUCUUGGGCCCAGUGGUCGGCGGGUAUCUGGCUGAGCUGGAUGGUGGGUUUUAUCUCACGGCCUUCGUCUGCUCUUCUGUCUUCAUUCUCAACGCUGGUCUCGUUUGGCUGUUUCCAUGGAGUGAAGUAAAACUCAGCGGUCCACAGGAUGACUUGCCACGGGGUAGGAACCAGGCGCUUUGGGGAAAGACAGACUCUGCCGUGCAGAGGGCGGCCAGUGCCCAGGCGACCCCAGCCAGCCCCCAGGGGACCCCAGUGAGCAAGGGGCCGGCCCGACUGCCCUGGGCGGAGGUGCUGGCCACCCUGUGGGGCCUGAGGAGCCUGGUGCUCUCUGCCCUGUGGGUCGUGUUCGUGGUGCGCCUGCUGAUGGCUGUGGCCGUCAUGCUCUACUACAGUAACUUCGUCCUGGCCCUGGAGGAGCGCUUCGGCAUGGGGCCCAGGGCGGCUGGCUAUCUCACCAGCUGCAGCAGCGCCCUGGGCGUCCUGGCCGGCUUCGCCCUGGGGCCCCUCCUGCGGCUGUAUGGCCACCAAUCUUACCUGCUCCUGCUGCACUCCAGCGUGCUCACGUCUACACUGCUGCUGCUCUUCGCCUCGGCACGCAGCCUGGACGUCGCGGUCGUCUGCUCUGUGCUCCUGUCCUUCUCCACCACCAUUGGCAGGACCUGCAUCACUGAUCUCCAGCUGACCGUGGGCGGGGUGCGGGCUGGCGGCAGCCUUCUGGGCAUGGGGCAGUCGGUGACAGCCGUGGGCCGGGUCCUUGCCCCCAUCCUCUCGGGGGUGGCCCAGGAGGUAAGCCCCUGCGGCCCUCCCGGCCUGGGGGCGGCCUUAGGCUUUGUGGCUGUUGUCAUCAUGUCACGAAACAGACCUCACUCUGGUGGCCAAGGGGGUGAGGAAUUAAAAAGCGAGUAG